rnacentral:rRNA from 1 species
CCCAGACUCCUACGGGAGGCAGCAGUGGGGGAUAUUGCACAAUGGGGGAAACCCUGAUGCAGCGACGCCGCGUGUGGGAAGACGGUCCUCUGGAUUGUAAACCACUGUCCCCAGGGACGAAGAUGACGGUACCUGGGGAGGAAGCUCCGGCUAACUACGUGCCAGCAGCCGCGGUAAUACGUAGGGAGCGAGCGUUGUCCGGAAUUACUGGGUGUAAAGGGCGUGCAGCCGGGCCGACAAGUCAGAUGUGAAAUCCGCGGGCUUAACCCGCGAACUGCAUUUGAAACUAUUGGUCUUGAGUACCGGAGAGGUCAUCGGAAUUCCUUGUGUAGCGGUGAAAUGCGUAGAUAUAAGGAAGAACACCAGUGGCGAAGGCGGAUGACUGGACGGCAACUGACGGUGAGGCGCGAAAGCGUGGGGAGCAAACAGGAUUAGAUACCCGUGUA